AGAGUUAAAUAGUACGUGAAAUUGCUAAAAGGGAAACGAUUGAAAUCAGUGUUGGCUGCAGUAAAUCAGCUAGUCAGAAAUGGCUGGUGCACUUUGCUGUAGCCAGGUCAACAUCAGUUUCGGUUGGGAUAAAUUAGUGUGGGAAGGUGACUCCCUCGGGAGUGUUAUAGCCUGCAUGACUAUCCUGGCUGGGACUGAGGACUGCAGUGCAUGCCUAUGGCUGGCGAACCAGGCACUAUUAGUUUUGUAGCUAGUGGCAGCGUGCUGACUCUAGUUAUAAAACUGGUACUUGUCUGGGUAGCACAAAUGCACUAAGGAUGUUGACGAAAUGGUUUUAAACGACC
rnacentral:rRNA from 1 species